AUCUACUGUGGCUCUCAUAACUCCUGCUUUCAUUCUGAAGAACUCUAAUUCAGUAGUAAGUAGAAGUAUCAGCCCAAGGUAGUUACUGGAAUAUCAUUUAAAAUAAUUUGGUUGGUAGAAGUAACUUUCUGUUGAAAUAUCUUAUUGUUUAUGUAACAGCAGAUAUAAUUGGAAUUUCAACAAUUACCAUAUCUGCUUUCAUGCCAAGACUGGUUAAAUACAGGAGAAAAAAAUUUUUUUUUGGUACUUAUCUGUUGAAACUCAGAUAUUUCUAUAACAUUUCAACCCCUAUUAAAUUGCUUUGAAAACAACACCAAAAAAAAAAGGGGGGGGAAAAAAAGAGGAAAAAGACCCACCCAUCAUCAAAAUUUCAAACUCUGGGUGCUUUCCAGCAAACUGUUCUUGAAUGAAAACAUUACUCUGUCUUCAGUUAAACAUUGGCUCUAACGUAGACAAAUUAGCACAUUCAGUUACACUGCAAAAAUCUUUAACUGUAGGAGAGGGGGAAAAACAAAGAAAAGAAUGAUCAUAAUCAUUAGCAUUUAUAUAGCAGCUCGGUAGGAAUAUGUGAUUGUUAAAGCACAAAAUGCAGCAGCUGGUACUUGAGGAGGAAACAAAACUGUAAAGGCUAAUGUAGCUCAUCGAGUGGCACUUUCCAUUGUUGCAGCCAGAGGUGUCCUGUUGGUCUGCGGAUGCCAGAAAUUUCCUAGUGUAUCCACAAACAAGCUGGGUGUGUUAGAUGCAGGAAUGCAACAGACUUUCAAAGAUUUUAAGGGACUGAAGCUGAAGUGUUCAACCUGUUGAGCAGGAGAUGAACCUCAGACAGAAUAUUGUUUUUUAUACAGGGGCAAUGGGGGUGAAAAUGCUUGUAAGAUGGAGAAAGAUGAUGGAGAAAGAUAGAAGAACUCUGUUCUGUGUCUCACGCUCCAAGGGGAUUGCCCUUUCUUUUGAAUUGCUAGCGGGGAAGCAUUCAAGCAUUCACUCAAUGUAAAUGGAGAAAAAUGGAGAAGUAAAGAGUUUCGGGAAAGACUGGAGCAUGUCUUCAAAAAUGACCUGGUACCAGGCAGUUGUUCACAUCUACUUUUGUUUGCUGCGCUGGGCAUCCGUGGGCUAUGUGAGCACAAACUGGACAAACCAUCCAUACCGUUCUUCAUAUUGCAUUGGGCUCAAAUAUAUUAUCUUACAAAAUAUCCUUAAUGCUAAUGUUGCAGCAGUCACAAAGCAGCAAAUUGUUGGAAAGGACUGGCAAGAAGAAAACCAUGGAUGGCUGUAUCUGGCAGAGGGGGGAGAAGGCAUUUUGGUUGCCCAAAAACGCUGCCGUUGGCUCUGUUUGUCCUCCCCUUCCUUUCCCUUCAGUUUGAAGAACAUUGCACUCACAUCAACCUCAUCCCAUCUUGUAAAGAUAAUGGUGAACAAAAAUCUACUGGAAGAUCUUUUGAAGGGGCUUAUUCGACCUCAUGACUACUGCUUAAAUCAUUUCUGAAUUCAAGAUUCUGGUGCACAAGCCCCUGUAUGCAGAAGUAGAAGAGAGUCCCAUUCCCAAAUGCCUUUCAGCCAGAGGCUGGCAUUUUCCAGUUGUGCAGAAAGGAAACCUGCAGUUAUUUUUGUCUCUGGAAGCCCAAGGUUAUAUUGACAGAGGCUGUUUAGAGGUAAAACCACCCAGCGAGGGAAAUGCAGUGAGCCCCAGAUUUCCAGGUGACUGAUGAAUUUUUUCCCCAUCUGUGGUCAUCUGUAAAUGGAACAGCUCACGGUCCUUGCUGCGUUUAUCUUCUCAACACCUCUAUAACACAGAAGGUAUCGCCCCCGUUUGGAGUAAGUAAUGUGAGCGGUGGCAGGGUGUGCCCUUGAACUAAGACUUCCUAUUGUCUUGCAAAGACUAUCCUGAUAGACUGCUGCUGAAAUACCUGUAUGCUCUUAGGACCUGACCCUGCGUGUUUUCCUCAUGUGAACAUUAUUUAAUUGGAAACAGUACUGUAAAUAGCAACAGUUCAUGUGAUUACAUGAGAUUACAUCUUGUGAUAUUGGGAGGGAAAACAGCAUCCUGCUGGUGGAAACAA